rnacentral:rRNA from 1 species
UACGUAGGGUGCAAGCGUUGCCCGGAUUUAUUGGGCGUAAAGGGCGCGUAGGCGGCUCUGCACGUCCGUUGUGAAAUCGCCCCGGCUCAACUGGGCGGGGUCAGCGGAUACGGCAGAGCUUGAGCAAGCUAGGGGGCAAUGGAAUUCCCGGUGUAGUGGUGGAAUGCGUAGAUAUCGGGGAGGAACACCAGUGGCGAAGGCGGUUGCCUGGGGCUUUGCUGACGCUGAUGCGCGAAAGCGUGGGGAGCGAUCCGG